AGCAGUGUGGCCCAGUGGAAAGAGCACGGGUCUGGGAGUUGGAGGACCUGGGUUCAAAUCCUGGCUCUGCCA
rnacentral:tRNA from 1 species